UUUGACCGAGUUAUAAAGG
rnacentral:miRNA from 1 species